rnacentral:rRNA from 1 species
GAUGAACGCUGGCGGCGUGCCUAAUACAUGCAAGUCGAGCGAACGGACGAGAAGCUUGCUUCCCUGGUGUUAGCGGCGGACGGGUGAGUAACACGUGGAUAACCUACCUAUAAGACUGGGAUAACUUCGGGAAACCGUAGCUAAUACCGGAUAAUAUUUUGAACCGCAUGGUUCAAGAGUGAAAGACGGUCUUGCUGUCACUUAUAGAUGGAUCCGCGGUGCAUUAGCUAGUUGGUAAGGUAACGGCUUACCAAGGCAACGAUGCAUAGCCGACCUGAGAGGGUGAUCGGCCACACGGGCACUGAGACACGUUCCAGACUCCUACGGGAGGCAGCAGUAGGGAAUCUUCCGCGAUGGGCGAGAGGCUGACGGAGCAACACGGCGUGAGGGAUGAAGGUCUUCGGAUCGUAAAGCGCUGUUAGUAGUAAAGAACAAAUGUGUAAGUACCUGUGCACAUCAUGACGGUACCUGAUCAGAAAGCCCCGGCUAACUACGUG